rnacentral:lncRNA from 1 species
ACGAGUUAGCGACUGAAGAGAGCGGACUAGUAUUCGACUGAAAAUAAUUUGCAUUUUAAAAAUUUGUUAAAGUUUCGAAACAAAAAGGAUAAAAAUGAAUUUCUGUUCGAUAUUGGUUGUGAUUUCGUUGAUGGUGUGUAGCUUGAAAAUUGUUUCAGCCGACUUUGACGGCUGGGGCUGGGGCAUGUCGAACUGGAAUAUGCCAUGGGCAUGGUCUGGCCCCUGGGGUGGCAACUUUAACAACAACUUUGAUAACGGCUUUAACAAUAACUUCAACAACUUCUGGAUGCCAAAUCCGUUCCUUUCUAAUUGGUUUAUGAAUGACUUCGAUGACUAAAGAGUCUCUUUUAUGGAAAAUUAAAUGGCACGGAUUUCGGAACUGGAAACAACGAUUGGAAGGCUGCCUGUAAACUGAGCAAUAUUACUGGAUCAUAGCCUGGUACUUGGACAUGUUUUAGGUGAAAAUGUCUGACUAUAUCAUAUGCAUAAUAGCUCAGGGCGGUUGCAACUAAAGAUUAAUAUAUAAAAAUUCAUCAUCUUUAACACCCUGAUUUCAACAUGACAGUUGUCAGUGGAGUUUUAAUUGUUCACCUGUAUAUAUUCAUUAACAAAAGUAUGAUAGUUAUGGUAUAUAAACAGUUCAUCAAUAUCUGUGCUAAACUACCCUAAUUUUGUCGUCAAUAGCAAUUUUUCUAUAACAUAGAGCGACGUUUGAUUUCGUCUACAUAUAAAACGAAAUAAAAUGAACAAAUACUAAACUAAGGGAAGCGUGUAUAACAUGAUUUAUGGACAAGGCAACAUGACAUGAUUUUAAUGAAUUUUCUGGAGACUUUUUAACAUUUUGAGUCAUGAAAUUUUGAAACUUGCAGGAAGUUUAAGUUUGACAGAAAUCUUUUAAAAUCCGUACAAUCUUAUCAAAAAGAAAGCAGACUGUGAGCGGAAUAUCACGUUGAGCAUUGCAUUCACACGAUGUAGAAAUGUAGGUCCAGUCAACAUGCCUGUGUCUGUAGAUUUUGCUAUUGAAAUAUGAUUGAAUGUGAAUGUCAUUCUAACCCGCAUAUAAUCACUUAGGAAAUUAAUACUUUAGUACGUGUGUAUGUAUGCAUCUCUUUCGAGAAAAAGUGCUUAUUCUUUAGAAUUACUAAAAAAAUACAACAUAAUGAAAUAAUGUACGGAUAGGCACCUCGGUUCUUCAUCCACCAACAAAAGCUGGAAAGUCGCCAUAUAACCUAUAAUUGUGUCAAUGUGACGUUAAACCUAACUAAAAAUAACAACAACAAAAACAAAUUGCGGCUGCAUCUUUAAACUUGUUACUCUACAUGACUGUACUUUAGCUGCCAGUAAAGUUUUUUUAUAUAAAAUGUUUCUAUGUAUACUGAUGGUGAUUUUGUUACUGUUAAAUUUCAUAUAAAUCAAUGUCUUUUUAUUUGUUACCGUUAUGUUUUGCUGACGAGUUUUACAAAUAAAAUGAAUAAAUUUGUA